GAAUAUUGCGCAAUGGGGGCAACCCUGACGCAGCAACGCCGCGUGGACGAUGAAGGCCUUCGGGUUGUAAAGUCCUUUUUUGAGGGAAGAUAGUGACGGUACCUCAGGAAUACGUCCCGGCUAACUACGUGCCAGCAGCCGCGGUAAAACGUAGGGGGCGAGCGUUCUCCGGAUUUACUGGGCGUAAAGCGGACGUAGGCGGCAUUGUAAGUUGGGCGUGAAAGCUCUCGGCUUAACUGAGAGAGGUCGUUCAAAACUGCAAUGCCUGAGGUUGACAGAGGAGAGUGGAAUUCCCGGUGUAGUGGUGGAAUGCGUAGAUAUCGGGAGGAAUACCAGUGGCGAAGGCGACUCUCUGGGUCACACCUGACGCUGAGGUGCGAAAGCGUGGGGAGCGAACGGG
rnacentral:rRNA from 1 species